CUUUCGUCUCCUAGGAGGCACAUAACCACCAGCUGUCCCUGCUUAGCAACUUCUGCAGAAAGAGAGUGCCUUUUCCCCCUACCGUAUUCUUCGCUGCAACUCAGGGAAGGAUUCUCAGUUUCCCUACUUGGGCUACGUGUCACUGCUGCCUGAACACAGACCACUAGGCUUUGUUCGUCCUUAGUCCUACGCCCACUCCUCCAAGUAGCAGAAGAAAGACGAUGGGAAUGUUUGCCGAACAGACAACACCCAAGAAGUACUCUAGCAGGCCUAAAACCUAAGCAGAUAAUCCAAGACGGAGGAGAAGCAUCUCCAUGGCACCUCACUCUGAUUUGCGAGGAUUUGGCCAGAGAAACUGUUCUCAAGAGUGUGAAUUAGGUGGCAGCUACUAUUUUAUGGUACCUCGCUAUCCACUUUGUAAGAGUCUCCGAGAGCAGAGGGAGCACAUCCCCUGACACCUCGCACAUGACAGUUGCUUCAUCAGUGCUGGUUGUGCUCCUGAGAACUCAGCAUGGAGAGAGGCCUAGUCCCCGCUCCCCUGCUCCCAAUUGCUCUGUGACUCAUUCUCACGGCUCGCCCUUCAGGUUCUCGUUCUUGAAUUUCUCCUGCUCCCUCCCACUCCCAGUCCUUUGCCAUGUCUCCCCUGUGCCUGGAACACUUUUUGAUGCAGGUCACCUCCAGGACUCUGCCACUUUCAAGUUGAGUGUUCCAGGUAGGUCACUGAACCCCUCUGAGUUUCAGUGUCUUUAUCUGUAAAGAUAAAAACUAGACAUAACCUUUGGCUGACUGGGAGAGUUGGGAUUGGAUAAGGCAAGUACUGAGUCCAAGGCCUGGCUCUGAGUCCCUGCCCCAGGGACAGCAGCUCCUGUGAUUUUGGUUCAUCAUGGUAGGUCCCUCCUUCUCUCUCUCUUCUUGGGAACUGCCACCAUCCUUUCUGUUCUUUAACCUGCUUCUCCGCCAAUAAAGGCAGAGUGGAACACUCUCUUCCUGGCUCCUAUUUCCUCGCUGCCUCCAAAGACAAGCCUGUCACCUCCCCACCCCGCCUGCCCACAUCUUUGUUUUACUAAAUGAAGGAAUAAUUAUAAAAAUUUUAGAACUUCAUCAGGUCCUACAAGCAUACACCUGAAUGAUAACUUCCCUGUUGGGAUAAUAGCUAGAAACUCUGUUGGGUGUUUGCCUCUUGCUCGAAUUCCUUAUUUUAUUUUAUUUUGAGCAAAAACACACAUUUAUUUACUAACCAAAGGCUGAUCCUAAUCUAAGCCAACACUUUAAAAUAGCUGCAUGUAAAAUAUUUGUGAUGAAGAUAAUUAAACACAGUAAUGAAAAAAAUAAAAACAAAAACAAGCAGGAUGGAGAUAUGUUCAUUGAACUGAAAUUGUUCCUUCUCUCAGCUAAUUGCUCUCCAAAGCAGUAAGGAAAUUUUUAUUCUGCUUUUUUUAUUUUCACAGAUCUGAG
rnacentral:lncRNA from 1 species